AAUUUCUCAAGCUUGGAUGGCAAUUUUUGUCUUUCCUUAGUUUGGUUUGUUGGGCUUUGCCGUGUCCCUUCAUUGGGACGGCUGGCCUUAAAAGCAUUAGCUGAUCCUCGUGUGGAACUGGUUCUACUCAGCGUGAUAACAGUCUGAUCGCUGAGGACAUCUUUCGAGAUGGCCAGCCCUCAUUUGGAUUGCUUCUAAAACCUGGUCUUGCAGAUUGUUUGAUCUGUAUUCCAAUUUUCAG
rnacentral:misc_RNA from 1 species